AACGAGUUUAUUUUUAAGCUUUAAGCUUGUCUAGAUUCGUAUUUUUAACAAAUUGAUAUCAGUUAACUCAUUCAUACACUAGUACACAAAGCUUUUGUUGGUGCGAUGCACUUUAUUUUGGUGAUGCGGUUCUCUAAAACACCGCACCUUUAUAUUUAUCGUUCACAAAUUCCCCCAACUUUAUAUCUUAUAUUUACAUUUUCCCUCCCUUAUGUUUCAUAUUCCCCUCAAAAUUUUCAUUUUCCCUCUAUUCCCGCUUGUUUAUUUCCCUCCCUCACGAAUUUCUCACCCUCACAAACCCUAAUCGAACCCCAAGUCUCUCUGUCGCAUCCAUCUCGUUCCUUUUGACACCACUCACUACCGAUACCUUCCAGUGAACCGACCCCAUCCCUGCCCUGCAUUGCACCGUCCCAUCCCUGCCCUACAUUGCACCGUCGUUGCGGUCUAGUGCACCGUGUCUCUCCUGUUCGUUACAGCCACUGUGUGCAAUUUUCCACUAAAUUCAUAUGAAUAUGUUGUGUCUAAAUCUCUGUUUUUAUUCGCUCGUUAUGAUGUUUAGAAUAUGUGCAUACCAAGUGUUUGAUGAAAUGUUUGUGUUAGUUUUCCCCUCUAAUUUUAUUCACAUUUGUCUAAGUGCCUUGGUUUCAAUUAUUCUUGGUUGUGUGUAGGUUGAGUUGGACAUGGUGAAGAUUCUUCCUACUUACAAAGGAUAAAAAAACAUGUUGGAACCGUUGAAUGCACUUCAGUGCUCUAAAUUGCAGGUGCACUUGCCAGCACUAAUAAUCGAACUCAGGUAAUUUAAUUUAUGUUUCAAUAUUUCAGCGUCACUUGAUUUGGUUAACUUAAAUUGGUUUACAAUAGGCAAUUCUAGCUAGUUUUGAAGCGCUCGAAAAUGACAAUCCUGGAUCCAAAGUGACUUACCAAUAUGAAACUGAAAGCUGAAAGUUAUGGCUUACCCCUUUGAAAUUCCCUUUUUUUUAUUCUGUCUAAGUUUAUAUUUUCAACUCAUACAUGUUUUUCUUAUACCAAAGAUGCGUUGUGCAAGAUUUAAAAGAAUGGAAUUGAACCCCGAGGUGUUUUCCUUUCGCCUCGUGAGGCGUAGGACUCGAGGAGAACUAAGGCAUAAGACUAGGAGGCACACCUCAUACACAUUUUCUUAUCAUCUCGCUUCGAGGCGCACGUCUCAACGGUUUUUUUAAACCAUGGCGUUGUGAUGUCUUCUUGCAAUCAGAUUGCUCAUAUGUGGUGGUGUUUUCUUGUUGUUUCUGUUUCUUAUGGUCUUAUCCUAAUAUAUGCAGUUUUUCAUGAGAAGCAUUUCAAAGGUACCAAACUUAAAACUUGGCCAAAGCACUUGAGAUCGCAAAGAAAGCCCCGCGAACGUUCUUCGAGCUCUUGCAUGAGGCGGUUUCUACGGAUCGGAAUGCUAGGAUUGAAGAAGUCGAUUCGGGUUGUAAGGCAUACGAAGUUGCCUGUAUGAUUUUUUAGGUUGCAAACUUUUUUGAGCUAUUUCACAAAGUGUAUACGUUUUGUGUUUCAUACGGGAACCAUGUAGUUUUUGGAAACGUGUUUAAUAUGUUAGAAAUUUUUGUUUGUUA